rnacentral:lncRNA from 1 species
AGACUAUUCCCUCAGCCAUUGGGGAAAUGCCAAUGAGAACCACAAUGAGAUUGAUUCUUAUCGUACCCUAGACAGAACGACUUGCUUCAUGAAAACCAAUGACAACAAGUGCUGGUAUGCAUUGCACCAACUGAAGACCUCAGCCCCCAAAAGACUUUCGCAGGGCCAGUGCUAUGAACAAAUUGACUUCACCCAGCAGUACAGAAGAUGUGGAACAAUCUUUAUGGCUAACAUGCUGGGUGACAUUCUGA